rnacentral:rRNA from 1 species
GCAGCAGUAGGGAAUUUUCCGCAAUGGGCGAAAGCCUGACGGAGCAAUACCGCGUGAGGGAUGACGGCCUGUGGGUUGUAAACCUCUUUUCUCAAGGAAGAAGUUCUGACGGUACUUGAGGAAUAAGCAUCGGCUAACUCUGUGCCAGCAGCCGCGGUAAUACAGAGGAUGCAAGCGUUAUCCGGAAUCACUGGGCAUAAAGCGUCUGUAGGUGGUUUGGUAAGUMUGYUGUUAAAGAMUGGGGCUUAACCCCAGAAAAGCAGUGGAAACUGCCAGACUUGAGUGUGGUAGAGGUAAAGGGAAUUCMUAGUGUAGCGGUGAAAUGCGUAGAUAUUAGGAAGAACACCAAUGGCGAAGGCACUUUACUGGGCCAUAACUGACACUGAGAGACGACAGCUAGGGGAGCAAAUGGGAUUAGAUACCCCAGUAGUCCUAGCCGUAAACGAUGGAUACUAGAUGUUGCACGUAUUAACCCGUGCAGUAUCGUAGCUAAGGCGUUAA